rnacentral:rRNA from 1 species
UGCAAGUCGAGCGGACAGAUGGGAGCUUGCUCCCUGAUGUUAGCGGCGGACGGGUGAGUAACACGUGGGUAACCUGCCUGUAAGACUGGGAUAACUCCGGGAAACCGGGGCUAAUACCGGAUGGUUGUUUGAACCGCAUGGUUCAAACAUAAAAGGUGGCUUCGGCUACCACUUACAGAUGGACCCGCGGCGCAUUAGCUAGUUGGUGAGGUAACGGCUCACCAAGGCAACGAUGCGUAGCCGACCUGAGAGGGUGAUCGGCCACACUGGGACUGAGACACGGCCCAGACUCCUACGGGAGGCAGCAGUAGGGAAUCUUCCGCAAUGGACGAAAGUCUGACGGAGCAACGCCGCGUGAGUGAUGAAGGUUUUCGGAUCGUAAAGCUCUGUUGUUAGGGAAGAACAAGUACCGUUCGAAUAGGGCGGUACCUUGACGGUACCUAACCAGAAAGCCACGGCUAACUACGUGCCAGCAGCCGCGGUAAUACGUAGGUGGCAAGCGUUGUCCGGAAUUAUUGGGCGUAAAGGGCUCGCAGGCGGUUUCUUAAGUCUGAUGUGAAAGCCCCCGGCUCAACCGGGGAGGGUCAUUGGAAACUGGGGAACUUGAGUGCAGAAGAGGAGAGUGGAAUUCCACGUGUAGCGGUGAAAUGCGUAGAGAUGUGGAGGAACACCAGUGGCGAAGGCGACUCUCUGGUCUGUAACUGACGCUGAGGAGCGAAAGCGUGGGGAGCGAACAGGAUUAGAUACCCUGGUAGUCCACGCCGUAAACGAUGAGUGCUAAGUGUUAGGGGGUUUCCGCCCCUUAGUGCUGCAGCUAACGCAUUAAGCACUCCGCCUGGGGAGUACGGUCGCAAGACUGAAACUCAAAGGAAUUGACGGGGG